rnacentral:rRNA from 1 species
UUGGAGGGCAAGUCUGGUGCCAGCAGCCGCGGUAAUUCCAGCUCCAAUAGCGUAUAUUAAAGUUGUUGCAGUUAAAAAGCUCGUAGUUGAAUUUCGAGAUCAAAUUGUUGGUCGUGCCUCGGUACGUACUGGCAUUAUUGAUUUCUCCCUUCCGACGAUCCGCGAUGUCAUUAAUUUGGUGUCGUGGGGAAUCAGGACUGUUACUUUGAAAAAAUUAGAGUGUUUAAAGCAGGC